GGUUACACUUACAACAGACACAGUGUUCCUCUUAUCAUGUCAGUAACAGCGGCCAUAGAAAUGGAGGGUGACUCUGCUGAAGAUCAUAUUCCCCUCAUGUAGAGUACUUGGAGUCGAUUUACUAAACCUUGGAUGGAGAUAAAGUGGAAGGAGAUAAAGUACCAACCAAUCAGCUCCUAACUGUCAUGUUACAGGCUGUCAGGUCAAAGUCUGCAACGAGCUGGCUGGUUACUUACUACAAGGCGACAGAGCAGCGGCACAAACAGACGGCAGUUUGUAGCAAAUCUAUGAAAAACUGCCACACAGCAGUGGGAUAAAUGAACGGUGAUGCAAGAUGGAAUUGUCCUUGGGUCUUCCCACCCACCCUUAUGUUGGAUAUUAAACAGGACAUGCACAGUUUAACAAACCAAUCAUUGCAGCGACAAGGACUGCCACACUUGUGGCUGAAAUUAUUGGCUUGUUUGGGUCCCCAAAAAAACAAGCUACCAAUUGUCUUAAAGCAACAGCUCUACAGUGUCUUGAAGAUGUCAUUGCCAUUGCCAUCCUCAUCCUCACCCUCAUUAGUAUGUACAUCCUCAUCAUCAUCAUCACCACACAAUAUUAAUUCAUCCCCGCUGGAAUCCACCAUUACAGAUGUCUCUGUAUUUCGAUGUAAUUGCUGGGAAAGGUCUUCCUUGUGGAAUUUCCAGUUCAUUUUGAUGAACAUCAUCUUUUCCACAUUUUAAGGAAGUAGCCUCCUAUGCCAUUCACUCAAAAGGUUCCAAGCUGUGCUAAAAUCUUUCUUCGAGUACACACUGGAGGGUGGGCAGCUUAUGUAAUACAAAGCCAGUUUGUUCAAGGGCCUCCAUAUUGACUUUUUUCCUUCCAGUACAUGAAGGGAUUACUUUUACGGUGUUAUGAAAAAUCCUCCACCAUUCUUAUCGAUGGUGACCGUAUCAGAUGGAGUUAUGGUAGAGGUGUAACUAAUACUGGCCAAUUCAUUUAGACCCGCACAGAUGUCAAAAUGUUGUUUUGAAUGAUCUGCAUCCACACUAGGUCUUUUUGGAAAAUGUAGUUUUUUCCUGGCUGUUUUGGAAGAAACUGAAGGAGGAGACAUCACUAGAGCUGCCAACUUGCUCACCAGGAGCUCUUUGCAUCUCUUAGGAUCUGUGUCAGUUGGAAAGAAAGACACAGCAUAUGACUUGAACCUAGGAUUUGGCACAGUUGCCAAAAUGUAAUGAUCCAAUUUCAAGAUAUUGGCAACCUUUGGAUCCUGGCAAAGCGAAAAAAGGACUUGAUCUACAAGUCUGACAUAUUUUGCAGAUUUGCCUUGUUUUAUCUCCUCCUUCGGUUUCUCCAGUUGUUUUUCCAAAAGCCUAAUUAGGUGAACCACCUGGCUCAAGCUAGCAGUGUCGGAACUCACUUCACAGGUGGCUACUUCAAAGGGUUUGAGCACCAGCUUGUCCCACACUGCGUGGAGUCAGACCGCUUUCACACAUGGUAUUAUACUUUGAUGUACUGGGGUGCAGUGUGCACAACAAUACAAUGGAAACAGCAAACAAGUUUUUUGGGGGGCGAGAUACAGCUUGUUUCACACUGCGUGGAGUCAGACAGCUUUCACGCACAGUACUAUACUUUGGUAUACUGGACUGCAGUGCACACAACAAAACAAUGUGAACAGCAAACAAGUUUUUUUUUUUUUGGAGGGGGGACGCAGCUUGUCCCACGCUGCAUGGAGUCAGACCACUUUCACACAUGCAUUGUGAACGCAGAGGGUUGGGCAUGUGUAGUCACUGCAGUACCACUGUGAUGGACUUAAGGAACUGGUCACUGGACACAGUGACAGCACCACAGCCCCUUAGAUGGACAGUGAUAGCACCAAAAAACCCCCACUAGCUGUGCUAGACACAAUGACUGACAGCCCCUUAGAUGUGCACUAGUGACUGACAGCCUCUUAUGUACACAACUACACUGCCUGACACCGCCCACAGACAGCCCCUGAUGGACACUCUGAUUGACAGCCCCUGAUGAACACUCUGACUGACAGUCCCACAGCACAGCCCCUGAUGGACACUCUGACUGACAGCCCUUGAUGGACACUGACUGACAGUCCCACAGACAGCCCCUGAUGGACACUCUGACUGACAGCCCCUGAUGGACACUCUGACUGACAGCCCCUGAUGGACACUCUGACUGACAGCCCCUGAUGGACACUCUGACUGACAGUCCCACAUCACAGCCCCUGAUGGACACUCUGACAGACAGCCCCUACAGACAGCCUCUGAUGGACACCCUGACUGACAGCCC